UCAGCCGGUACUCGCGAAUGCUCUAGAUUAGACGUUUGAUCAUGGCUCAGACNUGAACGCUGGCGGCCAAGCCUAACACAUGCAAGUCGAGCGGAUGACGGGAGCUUGCUCCUUGGUUCAGCGGCGGACGGGUGAGUAAUGCCUAGGAAUCUGCCUGGUAGUGGGGGACAACGUUUCGAAAGGAACGCUAAUACCGCAUACGUCCUACGGGAGAAAGCAGGGGACCUUCGGGCCUUGCGCUAUCAGAUGAGCCUAGGUCGGAUUAGCUAGUUGGUGAGGUAAUGGCUCACCAAGGCGACGAUCCGUAACUGGUCUGAGAGGACGAUCAGUCACACUGGAACUGAGACACGGUCCAGACUCCUACGGGAGGCAGCAGUGGGGAAUAUUGGACAAUGGGCGAAAGCCUGAUCCAGCCAUGCCGCGUGUGUGAAGAAGGUCUUCGGAUUGUAAAGCACUUUAAGUUGGGAGGAAGGGCAGUAAGUUAAUACCUUGCUGUUUUGACGUUACCGACAGAAUAAGCACCGGCUAACUCUGUGCCAGCAGCCGCGGUAAUACAGAGGGUGCAAGCGUUUAAUCGGAAUUACUGGGCGUAAAGCGCGCGUAGUGGGUUUGUUAAGUUUGGAUUGUGAAAAGCCCCGGGNUCACAACCCUGGGGGAAACUUGCGCUNCCAACUUGGGCACAGGCCUUAAGUNCCCGUANCAGGGGUGUGGGAAUUUCCCUGUGUAUGCCGGUGCAAAUGCGUAGAUAUUUGACAGGGCCCCCGUNGGCAAAGGCGACCACCUUGACUNGUUCUGGNCCCUUGAUGUCNCAAACNUUGGANCACCGG
rnacentral:rRNA from 1 species